UACGUAGGGGGCAAGCGUUAUCCGGAUUUACUGGGUGUAAAGGGAGCGUAGGCGGCUUAGUAAGUCAGAAGUGAAAGCCCGCGGCCCAACCGCGGAACUGCUUUGGGAACUGUUUUGCUGGAGUAUGGGAGAGGUAAGCGGAAUUCCUAGUGUAGCGGUGAAAUGCGUAGAUAUUAGGAGGAACACCAGUGGCGGAGGCGGCUUACUGGACGGUAACUGACGCUGAGGCUCGAAAGCGUGGGGAGCAAACAGG
rnacentral:rRNA from 1 species